rnacentral:rRNA from 1 species
GACGAACGCUGGCGGCGUACUUAACACAUGCAAGUCGAGCGGUAAGGCUCCUUCGGGAGUACACGAGCGGCGAACGGGUGAGUAACACGUGAGCAAUCUGCCCUUCACAUCGGAAUAACCGCCGGAAACGGUGGCUAAUACCGGAUACGACCAUCGCAGGCAUCUGCUGAUGGUGGAAAGCUCCGGCGGUGGAGGAUGAGCUCGCGGCCUAUCAGCUUGUUGGUGGGGUAACGGCCUACCAAGGCGACGACGGGUAGCCGGCCUGAGAGGGUGACCGGCCACACUGGGACUGAGACACGGCCCAGACUCCUACGGGAGGCAGCAGUGGGGAAUAUUGCACAAUGGGCGCAAGCCUGAUGCAGCAACGCCGCGUGCGGGAUGACGGCCUUCGGGUUGUAAACCGCUUUUAGUAAGGAAGAAGCCGCAAGGUGACGGUACUUGCAGAAAAAGGACCGGCUAACUACGUGCCAGCCGCCGCAGUAAAAC